ACACUAUCGUUAACUGAAUACAUAGGUUAACGAGGCGAACCGGGGGAACUGAAACAUCUAAGUACCCCGAGGAAAAGAAAUCAACCGAGAUUCCCCCAGUAGCGGCGAGCGAACGGGGAGCAGCCCGGAGUCUGAAUCAGCUUGUGUGUUAGUGGAACGGUCUGGAAAGUCCGACGGUACAGGGUGAUAGUCCCGUACACGAAAGCACACUUGCUGUGAACUCGAAGAGUAGGGCGGGACACGUGGUAUCCUGUCUGAAUAUGGGGGGACCAUCCUCCAAGGCUAAAUACUCCUGACUGACCGAUAGUGAACCAGUACCGUGAGGGAAAGGCGAAAAGAACCCCGGCGAGGGGAGUGAAAAAGAACCUGAAACCGUGUACGUACAAGCAGUGGGAGCACCUUCGUGGUGUGACUGCGUACCUUUUGUAUAAUGGGUCAGCGACUUAUAUUCUGUAGCAAGGUUAACCGUAUAGGGGAGCCGAAGGGAAACCGAGUCUUAACUGGGCGUUAAGUUGCAGGGUAUAGACCCGAAACCCGGUGAUCUAGCCAUGGGCAGGUUGAAGGUUGGGUAACACUAACUGGAGGACCGAACCGACUAAUGUUGAAAAAUUAGCGGAUGACCUGUGGCUGGGGGUGAAAGGCCAAUCAAACCGGGAGAUAGCUGGUUCUCCCCGAAAGCUAUUUAGGUAGCGCCUCGUGAACUCAUCUUCGGGGGUAGAGCACUGUUUCGGCUAGGGGGCCAUCCCGGCUUACCAACCCGAUGCAAACUACGAAUACCGAAGAAUGUUAUCACGGGAGACACACGGCGGGUGCUAACGUCCGUCGUGAAGAGGGAAACAACCCAGACCGCCAGCUAAGGUCCCAAAGUCAUGGUUAAGUGGGAAACGAUGUGGGAAGGCACAGACAGCCAGGAUGUUGGCUUAGAAGCAGCCAUCAUUUAAAGAAAGCGUAAUAGCUCACUGGUCGAGUCGGCCUGCGCGGAAGAUGUAACGGGGCUAAACCAUGCACCGAAGCUGCGGCAGCGACACUAUGUGUUGUUGGGUAGGGGAGCGUUCUGUAAGCCGUUGAAGGUGUGCUGUGAGGCAUGCUGGAGGUAUCAGAAGUGCGAAUGCUGACAUAAGUAACGAUAAAGCGGGUGAAAAGCCCGCUCGCCGGAAGACCAAGGGUUCCUGUCCAACGUUAAUCGGGGCAGGGUGAGUCGACCCCUAAGGCGAGGCCGAAAGGCGUAGUCGAUGGGAAACAGGUUAAUAUUCCUGUACUUGGUGUUACUGCGAAGGGGGGACGGAGAAGGCUAUGUCAGCCGGGCGACGGUUGUCCCGGUUUAAGCAUGUAGGCGGAGGUUCCAGGUAAAUCCGGUACCUUAUUAACGCUGAGGUGUGAUGACGAGGCACUACGGUGCUGAAGUGAUAAAUGCCCUGCUUCCAGGAAAAGCCUCUAAGCAUCAGGUAACACGAAAUCGUACCCCAAACCGACACAGGUGGUCAGGUAGAGAAUACCAAGGCGCUUGAGAGAACUCGGGUGAAGGAACUAGGCAAAAUGGUGCCGUAACUUCGGGAGAAGGCACGCUGAUGUGUAGGUGAAGUCCCUGCGGACGGAGCUGAAAUCAGUCGAAGAUACCAGCUGGCUGCAACUGUUUAUUAAAAACACAGCACUGUGCAAACACGAAAGUGGACGUAUACGGUGUGACGCCUGCCCGGUGCCGGAAGGUUAAUUGAUGGGGUUAGCUGUAAGGCGAAGCUCUUGAUCGAAGCCCCGGUAAACGGCGGCCGUAACUAUAACGGUCCUAAGGUAGCGAAAUUCCUUGUCGGGUAAGUUCCGACCUGCACGAAUGGCGUAAUGAUGGCCAGGCUGUCUCCACCCGAGACUCAGUGAAAUUGAACUCGCUGUGAAGAUGCAGUGUACCCGCGGCAAGACGGAAAGACCCCGUGAACCUUUACUAUAGCUUGACACUGAACACUGGUCCUUGAUGUGUAGGAUAGGUGGGAGGCUUUGAAGCGUGGACGCCAGUCUGCGUGGAGCCGUCCUUGAAAUACCACCCUUUAAUGGCUGGUGUUCUAACGUAGACCCGUAAUCCGGGUUGCGGACAGUGUCUGGUGGGUAGUUUGACUGGGGCGGUCUCCUCCCAAAGAGUAACGGAGGAGCACGAAGGUUGGCUAAUCCUGGUCGGACAUCAGGAGGUUAGUGCAAUGGCAUAAGCCAGCUUGACUGCGAGCGUGACGGCGCGAGCAGGUGCGAAAGCAGGUCAUAGUGAUCCGGUGGUUCUGAAUGGAAGGGCCAUCGCUCAACGGAUAAAAGGUACUCCGGGGAUAACAGGCUGAUACCGCCCAAGAGUUCAUAUCGACGGCGGUGUUUGGCACCUCGAUGUCGGCUCAUCACAUCCUGGGGCUGAAGUAGGUCCCAAGGGUAUGGCUGUUCGCCAUUUAAAGUGGUACGCGAGCUGGGUUUAGAACGUCGUGAGACAGUUCGGUCCCUAUCUGCCGUGGGCGCUGGAGAAUUGAGGGGGGCUGCUCCUAGUACGAGAGGACCGGAGUGGACGCAUCACUGGUGUUCGGGUUGUCAUGCCAAUGGCACUGCCCGGUAGCUAAAUGCGGAAGAGAUAAGUGCUGAAAGCAUCUAAGCACGAAACUUGCCCCGAGAUGAGUUCUCCCUGAGACUUUAAGUCUCCUGAAGGAACGUUGAAGACGACGACGUUGAUAGGUCGGGUGUGUAAGCGCAGCGAUGCGUUGAGCUAACCGAUACUAAUGAACCGUGAGGCUUAACCUU
rnacentral:rRNA from 1 species